CUCGUCAUUUCAUUUCCGUCACAUUCCUGUGGCUUUAUCUUACCCUUGUUUAGAACUUGCCCGAACUGCCCGACUGCCCAACCUCCUUGCCCGCUCUGCCCUACCAUGUACCCAAGUACACCUUUUCUUUAGCCGUCUCUUUCUGUCUCUCUCUCUCUCUUUCUUCGGUUUUUUUUUUGCCGUCUCUCUCUCUAAAAAUCGAGCAACUUUUUUUCUCUCUCGAUUUUCUCUCUUUAAUUUUUUUUUUCUAUAGAUCGCAAGGCGGCUUGGGAAAUUGAACGCGGUGCAUGGAUCUGAGAUUGAAGUAGAUCGGGUAAAGUGGAGAAUCGCGAUCGAAGGGAAUUAGGAUUUUGGUUUGAGAUUGGGGGAAUUAGGGUUUGGUUAAUUGGAAGAUUUUGGUAGAUGGUGAAAGGUAGGGUUUUGGGUGGAUCUAGGGUUUGGAAUUGGUGAAAGAAGGGGGUGGAAUUAAAGAGGGGAAAAGAAGAUAGCAAUAAGGAGGGGGAUUGAUGGUACUCGAAGGGGAAAAUGCAAGGCUAUGCAUGGGCAGGGAGGAGGUGACGAGAGGAAAAAGGCACGGCACAUGUGGACAGUCCCUAAACGUGCAACGGCGGUUCUGAGUGGUGAUGGUGGUGCUUCUCCAUCUUCUUCUUCUUCAUCAUCUACUGUUAAUUUCUUUUCAAAGGUGUGUGGGGCAGUUUUACUACAUUAUAAUUUGGGAUGGACGCAAGAUCAGUGUUGGUGACUGUGCUCUCUUCAAACCAGCCCAAGAUUCUCCACCUUUCAUUGGAAUAAUUCAUUGUCUAACUGCUGGUAAAGAAAAUAAAUUAAAGUUGGGUGUGAAUUGGCUUUAUCGACCUGCCGAAGUAAAACUUGGCAAAGGCAUCCUGUUGGAAGCUGCGCCAAACGAAAUCUUUUAUUCCUUUCACAAGGAUGAGAUUCCUGCUGCAUCGUUACUCCAUCCUUGUAAAGUUGCAUUCCUUCCUAAAGACGUUGAACUUCCAUCAGGGAUUUGUUCAUUUGUGUGCCGGCGAGUUUAUGACGUUACAAACAAGUGUUUAUGGUGGCUAACUGAUCAAGAUUAUAUUAAUGAACGACAAGAAGAAGUAGAUCAGCUAUUAUAUAAGAGACGUUUAGAAAUGCAUGCAACAGUGCAACCGGGUGGCCGUUCUCCAAAGCCAAUGAAUGGUCCGACAUCAACAUCACAGUUAAAACCUGGUUCAGAUAGUGUACAGAACAGUGCUUCCUCAUUUCCUUCUCAGGGUAAGGGAAAGAAAAGGGAGCGUGGGGAUCAAGGCUCCGAGCCUGUUAAACGAGAACGUACUAGUAAAAUGGAUGAUGGGGAUUCUAGUCAUGGUAGACCAGAAAUUAAUUUAAAGUCUGAGAUUGCUAAAGUUACUGAAAAGGGGGGACUAGAAGAUUCUGAAGGAGUUGAGAGGUUGGUUCAGCUUAUGGUGCCUGAGAGAAAUGAGAAGAAAAUAGACUUGGUGAGCCGUUCAAUGCUUGCUGGUGUUAUAGCAGCUACAGACAAGUUUGACUGUCUUAGUCGUUUUGUUCAGCUCAGAGGGUUGCCUGUUUUUGAUGAAUGGCUCCAGGAAGUCCACAAAGGGAAGAUUGGUGAUGGUAGUGUCUCCAAGGAUGAUAGAUCAGUAGACGAUUUUCUUUUAACCUUACUAAAAGCACUUGAUAAGCUACCUGUAAAUCUUACAGCUCUACAGAUGUGUAACAUUGGUAAGUCUGUGAAUCAUUUGCGUAGUCACAAGAAUAUAGAAAUACAGAAGAAAGCGAGGAGUUUAGUUGAUACAUGGAAAAAACGAGUUGAGGCUGAGAUGGAUGCUAAGACUGGUUCAAAUCAGGCUGUUAGCUGGUCUGCAAGACCUCGUCUUUCUGAAGUUUCUCACAGUGGAAGCAAGCACUCUGGGUCAUCUGAGGUUGCCAUGAAGAGUUCAGUAACUCAACUUUCUGCCUCUAAAACUGGUUUGGUUAAGCUUGCUCAAGGAGAGACUGCAAACAAGUCUGCUUCUGCAUCGCCGGGACCUAUAAAGGCAGCAACAUCACCUGCUUCAGCCAGUACAAACUUAAAAGAUGGGCAGGCACGAAAUGCUAUUGUUAGUGGCACUUCUGACCCUCAAACAACCCCAAGGGAUGAGAAAAGCAGCGGUUCUAGUCAGUCCCACAACAAUAGUCAGUCUUGUUCUAGUGAUCAUGCAAAGACUGGGGGGGUUUCUGGAAAGGAGGAUGCAAGAAGUUCUGCUGCUGGUUCAGGGACAGUGUCUAAGAUCUCAGGCAGUUCUUCACGGCACCGGAAAUCCAUUAAUGGUUUCCCAGGACCAUCAGGGGUUCAAAGGGAAACUGGAUCAAGCAAAAAUUCUUCUUUGCACAGAAAUCCUGCUUCAGAAAAAAUAUCACAGUCCGGUUUAACAUGUGAAAAGGCCGUGGAUGCUCCUAUGGCUGAGGGUAAUGGUCAUAAGUUCAUUGUUAAGAUCCCAAAUCAAGGUAGAAGUCCGGCACAAAGUGCCAGUGGAGGAUCUCUUGAAGAUCAUUCUGUCAUGAAUAGCAGAGCUUCUUCUCCUGUGCUUUCAGAGAAGCAUGAACAAUUAGAUUGUAACAUGAAGAAGAGUGAUACUUGCCGGGCAAAUAUUAUCGCUGAUGUGAAUACUGAAUCUUGGCAGAGCAAUGACUUCAAAGAUGUGCUGACUGGGUCUGAUGAGGGAGAUGGUUCACCCACAACUGUUCCAGAUGAAGAAAACUGUAAGACUGGAGAAGAUGCCAGGAAAACAACUGAAGUUACAAAAACGGCUUCCUCAUCUUCUGGAAAUGAACUUAAAUCAGGGAAACUGCAGGAGGCUUCUUUCAGCUCCAUUAACGCUUUAAUUGAAAGUUGUGUCAAGUACUCUGAAGCAAAUGCAUGCGUACCAGUUGGGGAUGAUGCUGGAAUGAAUUUGCUUGCUAGUGUGGCUACUGGAGAGAUUUCUAAGUCUAACGUGGCUUCACCGAUUGAUUCUCCGCAAAGAAACACCCCUGUUUUUGACCCCUCUUCCACAGGCAAUGAUACAAAACUAAAAACUUCUGCUGGGGAUGACGUUGUUCGGGAUCGAAAUCAGUCUGUUGAGGGCACAGAUGAUGAGCAUCUGAAGCAGGGUGUUGUUGCUGGUAAUUCAUGGGCUAACAAUGCAGACAGCAAGACUGGUUCCUCUCAAGAAAAAUCUGGAGGAGAGCUGAAUGAGCAUUUAACUUCAUCAAGUAUGGGUUUGCAACAGACUGCAGACCAAUGUCUUGAAAAUGGUAAAUUAAAGGAAAUUAUAACAGCUGCUUUAGUCAAUUUGCCCUCUGCAAGCACUGUGGAGAAGACUACUGAUAUUGAAGAUUCGAAAGAGCAACUGGAGAAAAAGGCUGGUGAUGUUGAUGAUGAUGGCAGUUUGGAUACUAAAGAAAAGGUGAGUACUUCUGUAGUAAAUGAAGAUAAGAUCAUUGAUCCAGUUGUAAAAGUUGAGAAAGAGGUGGUUGAAGGAUCUUCGUCUGUACCUUCAAUGGAAGUUGAUGCUGAGAACAAGAAGAAUGUUGUCACUGAAGGUUUUGACAGAAGUUCACAGACUCAUCAGAAGUCACCAGCUGUUAUUGGGCAUUCCUCCAAAGGAACAGAUAAAGAAGCAUUGCCAUCUGCUUCUGCUAAAGAUAUGGUUUUGGAAAAUGUUGAUGAAGUGAAAGCUGAGAAGGAUGUUGAGACUGAUGCACGUAGUCAUGCCAGUCAUAAUGAGAAGCAAAAACCUGAGUGGGAAACUGUCACUGCCCAGAAGAAAGGUGAGCACGUGGAGAGUUUAGAAGGUAGUGAAGGUCAUGAACCGUUUGGUGGAGCGUCUCCUUGUAAGGCAUCAACCACAGUAAUGGAAACAGAACAACCUAUGAGGCCAAGGGGAACUAAAUUGACUGUUGUAGAAGCAGAUGAGGCAGAAGAAUGUACAUCAACCACUACAGAUGCUCCCGCUGCAGGUGGUGCAGAUACAGAUGCGAAAGUAGAAUUUGACUUGAAUGAAGGCUUUAAUGUGGAUGAGGGGAAAUUCGGGGAACCUAAUAAAUUGACGGCUCCAGGAUGUUCAGCUCCUGUCCAAUUAAUUAGCCCAUUGCCUUUCACUGUUUCUUCUGUGUCUAGCAGCCUUCCUGCUUCAAUUACUGUUGCUGCUGCUGCAAAAGGGCCCUUUGUUCCCCCAGAUGACCUACUGAGGACUAAAGGGGUGCUUGGCUGGAAGGGAUCAGCAGCCACAAGUGCGUUUCGUCCAGCUGAACCCAGAAAGAUUCUGGAUAUGCCUCUUGUUACAAGUAACGCAUCCAUUCCUGAUGCUACUACCAGGAAACAAAGUCGUCCUCCAUUGGAUAUUGAUUUGAAUGUACCUGAUGAGAGAGUCCUUGAGGAUCUAGCUUCCCAAAAUUCUGCUCAGGGUACAGUCUCUGCACCAGAUCUUACAAAUAAGCGUGAUUUAACAUGUGGGUUGGUGGGUUCUGCAACCAUUCGUUCUUCUGGGGGACUUGAUCUUGAUUUGAAUAGAGUUGAUGAGCCUGCCGAUUUGGGUAGUUACACAACUGGAAAUAGUCGUAGACUGGAUGUCCCUAUGCAGCCUAUAAAAUCAUCAUCAGUUGGUAUUCUUAAUGGUGAGGCAAGUGUCCACAGGGACUUUGAUUUGAACAAUGGACCUGCUGUUGAUGAGGUGAGUGCUGAACCAUCACUAUUUAGCCAGCAUAAUAAAAGCAGCAAUGUGCCAUCUCAACCACUGGUUUCCAGCCUGCGGAUAAACAAUACUGAGAUGGCAAAUUUCUCAUCAUGGUUUCCUACAGGGAAUACAUACUCAGCUGUCACUAUUCCAUCAAUCUUGCCUGAUAGAGAACAGCCUUUUCCAAUUGUUGCAACUGGUGGACCACAGAGGGUGUUGGCUCCCCCUACUGGCGCCGCCCCUUUUAAUCCUGAUGUGUAUAGGGGACCUGUAUUGUCAUCUUCACCAGCAAUGCCCUUCCCAUCGACUCCUUUCCAAUAUCCCAUGUUCCCCUUUGGAACAACAUUUCCUCUUCCUUCGACCAGCUUUUCUGGUGGUUCAACAACUUAUGUCGAUUCAUCUCCUGGUGGGAGGCUUUGUUACCCCCCAGUCCAUUCUCAAUUGUUAGGACCUGCUGCUGCUGUUCCUUCCCAUUACUCAAGGCCCUAUGUUAUUAGCCUUCCAGACAGUAGUAAUAAUAGUGGUGCUGAGAGUGGUAGGAAAUGGGGAAGGCAAGGUCUAGACUUAAAUUCCGGGCCUGGAGUUCCAGACUUUGAAGGAAGAGAUGAGACAGCACCUCUUGCAUCUAGGCAACUAUCUGUUUCCAGUUCACAGGCCCUGGCAGAGGGGCAAGCUAGAAUGUAUCAGGUGCCAGGUGGUGUUUUGAAAAGGAAGGAACCUGAGGGAGGAUGGGAUUACAAGCAAUCUUCAUGGCAGUAGGAAUCCUCCAAUGUCACAAUCUGGUGACCCAUGAAAGCUUUUCUUCAAGGAUAGGCAUUGGCUAACCCCCCCAGAGGUCAUCUAACCUUGUGCUGUUAGAGGAUGGGUGUUUUAAUUCAUGCCAACUUUGCUAUUCAAUGUUAAAAGGGUAUUGGCACUGAGACAGACUGCUUUGAAGUAUGAGGUUGCACUUUCACCUGACGACACCAGUAGCAACUAUGUCAUUCAUCUUUCCAAGUGUAUUUGCUCCUGCUUCCGCUUCAUAUUAUGUGUUGAUUGGAGUAGGGAGGGAGGUAGGUAGGUGGGUAGGUCAAACAGACUUAAGAAGCCAAGCCUUGUUUAUAUUCUGGAUUCUGGAACGCUUUGUGGUCAGCAACUGGCAUAUAUUCACAUGAAUUUUCCAUUUGCCUAUAUUUUAU